AGAACUCCACUCUAUUGUACGGCAGCUGGAGACUUCCUGAUUGUCAUCUAGAAAGCACGCCGAGACUGCAGUUGAUACCUUUCUGCCUCAGGUCUGUUAGUACAAGUGUACACAACACCACACUCCAAGUAACCAUCUGAUUACAAACACAAAGCAGUUGUGUUGCAGCAACUCCACUUGGGUGUAGUGCAAAAGUGCAAUUUGCUCAGAAUCAGUCAAACCACGUGAAAGUUUACUGAAGAUCGAACACAGAUGACAUUGAAUGCAAAUCAAUUGUCUGCAAUCUUUUGGGCUAGAUUCAACAAUAUUGAAUGUGAAACCAAUACAACCUACAAAGUUGGCUAAACCCUGAGGUUAUCAUAAGAAAGAUCCGGCAGUUUCAUCAGACAGUCUGUUAUCCACAAAUUCUUGGUCUGUGUAUGGUUCCAAUGUGAUGCAGAUGAGGCAGCCCGAGCUCCCACCUGAUUGAACCUACAGGAAUACCCAAAAUCUGAAGAAGGCUUAUGCCCGAAACGUCGAUUCUCCUGUUCCCUGGAUGCUGCCUGACCUGCUGUGCUGUUCCAGCAACACAUUUUCAGCUCUGAUCUCCAGCAUUUCUCACUUUCUCCUCUAAUCUCAAUAAAUGUAUUCUUUGGAUCCCAAACAGAAAAGUGGCCAAGGUAUGGGCAUAUUCACAGGAGACAACCAAUUAGAAAAUCAAUUCAAUUUUCACUCUCCGACAUCAAGUUACUUACUGGUCUGAAAAUAGUGAAUAAGCUAGAACAAUGUAGUCCAAUACAUAACCAACUAGCCAGAUGUGGCUAAUUGCAUUUCUGAUUUAUAAAUAUAAGAUGAUCAAUUAACACUCUCAUUAAAUUUGUUAUAUAUUCAUACAGAAUAUAGUUUUAGCCUUUUUUGUUUAUCUGAUUUUAAGAUGCACAGUAAAAUAUCAAACUUCUUUUUUUAUAAUGUGAGCCAUUUAAUCCCCUGCUAGCUCAACAAUGGCAGAUAAAGGGCAGCACUGUGGCUCAGUGGUUAGUACUG